CAGAAUGGAUUCACUUUUACAGAUUUCAUAAAUGAAGAUGGUGCUAUAGCUGCCUUAAAAGAAAAAUCAAAAGGAGAUGAAGUCCUUGAAGAGUACAUGGCCACCGAUACUUUGUCAAAUGAAAUGAGAAGAGCGCUUGUUAACAUACUGGUGGGGCACAUGACAGAGAGGCAUGGGAGGAUUCCAACCCAGAAGCAGAGAGAGCAGUAUGCCCUUGGAAUUGUGACUUUGUUUCCAUCAUUGAAAGACCCAUUUUCCAAGAAGGGAUAUGAGCACUUUUAUGAUUCAGCAAGUGGAAGUGGUUAUCUUGCUUGGCGUUUAAAAACCAUUCAAAGAAACAACUCUCAUCACACUGAAAGAAAGAAUAAGCCUAGCUCUGAACAAGGAGGUCCAAACACCAGGAGAGACAUUAGCUUAGAACAUCAGCUUGAGGGAGAUGCUCUUGUGGAGGCCAUUUCACUUCUUGCUCAUACAGGAGUUGACGAAACCAUUUUUGAAAAGAUGAGACAGACA